rnacentral:rRNA from 1 species
GAGUUUGAUCGUGGCUCAGGAUGAACGCUAGCGGCAGGCUUAAUACAUGCAAGUCGAGGGGCAGCAUGAGUAGCAAUACUUGAUGGCGACCGGCAAACGGGUGCGGAACACGUACGCAACCUUCCUUUAAGUGGAGAAUAGCUCCCGGAAACGGGAAUUAAUACUCCGUAACAUUAUGAUGUGGCAUCACUUUAUAAUUAUAGAUUUAUCGCUUAAAGAUGGGCGUGCGCCUGAUUAGGCAGUUGGCGGGUAACGGCCCACCAAACCUACGAUCAGUAACUGGCGUGAGAGCGCGACCAGUCACACGGGCACUGAGACACGGGCCCGACUCCUACGGGAGGCAGCAGUAAGGAAUAUUGGUCAAUGGACGCAAGUCUGAACCAGCCAUGCCGCGUGGAGGAUGAAGGUCCUCUGGAUUGUAAACUUCUUUUAUUUGGGACGAAAAAGAUUUUUCAAAUCGCUUGACGGUACCAGAUGAAUAAGCACCGGCUAACUCCGUGCCAGCCGCCGCGGUAAC